CAGACUUUACUGGGUGCAAUAGGGAGUGUACGGUGGUCUGGGCAAGUCAGAGGUGAAUAGGCACGGGUGCUCAACUCUCGGGACUGCCUCUGGAAACUGUCAGAAAUAGACCGCAGGAGAGGUAAGUGGAACUCGUAGUGUAGCGGUGAAAUGCGUAGAUAUUAGGAGGAACAUCCAGUGGGGAAGGUGGAUUAGAGGACUGUAACUGACACUGAGACUAGAUAGAGCGGGGAGCAAACAGGAUUUGAUAACCUGGUAGUCCACGACGUAAAUGAUGCAUGAUAGGUGUCGCGGCCCAUAAGGGCUUCGUCGCCGCAGUCAUCGCAAUAAGUAUUCCACUCGCGGAGUACUUUCGCAAGAAUGAAACUCAAAUGAAUUGACGGGGAGCCGCACAAGCGGUAGAGCAUGUGGUAUAAUUCGACGCAACGCGAAGAACCUUAUCAAGUACUGACAUCCCUCUGACAGAUCAUGUAAUGUGUUUUUCCUUCGGGACAGAGGUGACAGGUGGUGCAUUUUUGUGGUCAGCUUGUAUCUUGAGAUCUUGGUUUAAGUCCCGCAAGGAGCGCAACCAUUAUUGUUAGUAGCCAGCAGUUCGGCUGGGCACUCCAAUGAGAGAACCAGGGAUAACCUGGAGGAAGGUGGGGAUGACGUCAAAUCAUCAUGCCCCUUAUGACUUGGGCUACACACGGUAUACAAUGGCGUAAACAAAGAGAAGCAAAUCCGCGAGGCCAAGCAAAUGUCAAAAAUAAUGUCUCAGUUCGGAUUGUAUUCUGCAAAUAGAUUACAAGAAGCUGGAAUCACUAGUAAUUGCAGAUCAGA
rnacentral:rRNA from 1 species